rnacentral:rRNA from 1 species
CCCUUAGAUGUUCUGGGCCGCACGCGUGCUACACUGAGUGGAUCAGCGGGUCAGGUUGCGCGAAAGCGUUUCCUAAUCUUGAAAUCCGCUCGUGAUGGGGAUUGACGGUUGCAAUUUUCUGUCAUGAACGAGGAAUACCUUGUAAGCGCGAGUCAUCAUCCCGCGCUGAAUACGUCCCUGCCCUUUGUACACACCGCCCGUCGCUCCUACCGAUUGAGUGGUCCGGUGAGGCUUUGGGAUCUGAGCGGAAAGAGCGUUUCGCUCGCUCUGCCCGGAAAACUCAGUCGAACCUUAUCAUUUAGAGGAAGGAGAAGUCGUAACA